AGGAGGGUGUAGAAAGGGGCAGGAUGGUUUGUACUUUCCCAGUGCUUUUUUUUUUUUUUUAAUCUGUUUUCGUCAACUUGGAAGGCAGCCAGGAGCUGCUCUGGGAAUGCACAGAGAGGGAGGGGAGAGAGGGAGUUUGUAAAGGAGGAGGGUAAAGCUGAUCCCGGGACAGGGGUGUGAUUAGCAACAUAACCCCUUGGUCACCAGUAGCAAUACACACUGCUCUACUGCAGCCUCCCCCUCCCUACAGCACAGGGGGUUAAAGGGGAAGAGCUACAGAUGUGCUGUGUGUAGUGGGUGUUUUUGGAAGAGGAUGGGUACAUAUUUAGGCCCGGGCCUCAGCUAGCACAGCUGGAGCAGGCAGCACAAAGACAAGCAGAUUAGUGGCAAGGGGGAGGAGACUGGCAGAGAGGCCGGAUUAAGGGGUGGAAUAGGAGGGCUGGCUGUGAGUUUAUAAUGAUAAAUAGAGAAAACUCUUCCUUACAACAAACUGGCACACGUACGAGAGAAGAAAAUGAACUUAGCGCCUAUUAAAUAUGUAAGCCUCUGAGGAUGGAGACAGAAAACAGACUGUGUGAUCUUCCGAGAGGCAAAACAAAAAAUCACCCCUCCGACUUGUUCCCAAGCUCAGGCAAUAAAUAAAUGAACCAAUACAGCAAUAGUAGAGCAUCUACGAUAGCCAUGCUAAUAGGCCAUUAACAUGAUUAGCAAGAAAACCCACAGUGUACGCUAACAUUGCUUGUAAAAAGAUACACCAUAACACACUCACUUGUCCAACUGUGCUAAAGAUUAUUUUUAGGUCAAACCCCACCCCUCCUACGUAAUAUAAAAGGCAACAAAUUCAUAAAAUAUAAAAGUCACAUGGCUGGGCCCCAGCAUGUUAUGUGAUGUGUUUGGAUCUGACGACCGCCCAAAUCAACCCCAGACACACGAGUUGCAACACAGUGAUGUUUAACCCUUUGCAUGCAUACACACGUGUAUCAAUAUUCACACGUCGGCAGUGGUGUGAGAACAGGAGCAAGGAUCAUUGGGUAUCAAGUGUCAUGCUAGGAGUCACAGAGCCGAGUUGCUACCCUAUUCAAACAGACCAUAAUAGCAACACAAACACUGGACACUAGUCUCUACUUUGGGCCCUGCAGAGGUACAACACCAACGAUGUCUCCCAACAACUUAGCAGAAUAAAGACCACCCAGGUCACUACAUUCUGUGUCCCAAAAUACAGAAUAAUAAAAUCAUGCCUUAUCUUCCCGCUAUUCUCCGUCUCAGUAUUAAGUGCAAGCUCUUAAGAGCAUGGAUCUCUGCUGCUGUAAUUAUCUUUAUAAACCCUGUAAGCUAAAAAAAAAAACAUGUUCAGUGACCUUAGUAUAAUUAACUAAUAAUGCACUACAGGAAUACCGGUCCACAGCUAGAAAAUGAUUUCUACACCACUUUAUCUCUGGAUCAACUGUUUACAAUUAAAAAUCUUGAAGGAGGUCUAACCCAAAAGAAAAAAAAAUAGGUAUAUAAUGGUAAGCAACUUUCCAAUAUAAAUAUCAUUAUCAGUCUGUGCUUUUCUGCAUUGCUUGUUCUGUCUUCUGAAACAAAUCAAGCUUGCAUAUUGUUUAAGAGAUCUGUUAAUCAGCCGGCUUCUGUAACAUCAUUUCAAAAGUCACAACCCACCGGGGUAAUAGAAAGGGACAAAAUACUGUCAGUAAGAUUUAGAUUGACAUUUACAAUUGUGCUACAAUUUAAUUUACUAGGCAAAAUAUUUUUGCAUUACAUUCCUUUGAAGGAAGAGAUACUUUAGGUCAACUAUUGUCCCACGUGACGUUAAUUACUAGAAAGCGAUUUUCUACAUGUUGCCGGACUACAACUCCCAGCAGCCACUUGCAGGGUACCACUGAGACAUGAGACAAGCAGCAUUAGGCAGGGCAUUUCAGUUCAUAUUAGAUAUAUAAAUAUGUACUUUACUAAACAAUGUUGCAAGAUGUCACACUUUGGUCAAGAAAGAAACUGCUAUAAAAUAACACUUUAACAAAUAAUCUGUGUACAUUGUAUCUAGUUGUAUGCCACCUGUAAAACAAAACAUGGCCUUUCUAAGCCAUAAGGUUGUCUUAGGGGUCAGGCCUAUUGAUUUUCAACUAUUGUUAAAUUAUGAUUCUCAGCAGCCUUUACAGAAGAAUACAGAAUGGUUGGACAUUUUUCUAGACAAAACAGGGUCAGUUAUCGGGGUGACAUUGAAGAUACAACUGAACGGAGACAGGUCAAUGCUGGGGGACAUGAAAAUGUUUUGUAUUGCUCUAUAUGAGGAAAUGGAAAUGUUUCCUACAAGGUAACGCAACAGUGUAAACAAAUGUACCAGUCAUGUGAUGACCAGACUUUGCUUAACUACAACACCCAGGAGUCUGUGCAAGGCUUGGGAUGUUGGGAAGUUGAUUCACAGGCACUGGAUAGAUGCAGGUGAGCCAAAUCUGUUCUGCACAGAGGAGAAUUCACUCCCAGGCGCUUGUAAUGUGGACUACAGCUCCCAGCAUGCUUUACCAGCUGAUAGUGGGAUAGAAGAGUAUGGAGCUCAGCCACAAACUGAGGAUCCGUGGGACAGAGCAGAUACAGGCAGGGGUGAUGCUGCCAUGAAGAGUGUUGAAAAACUCACCUCAGACAGUAGCACCUGGCAAAGAGCUGCCCUGGUAACAGUUUCCUACUAGUGCUUCAUAAUAUUCCAGUACCUCGUUGUCGCCAAACGUGUACCACCGAGCCUUACAACAAAAUGUAAG